GGCUGCUUAACAUGCAGUCGAGCGGUAACAGGGUGCUUGCACCGCUGACGAGUGGCGAACGGGUGAGUAAUGCUUCGGAACGUGCCUAUUAGUGGGGGAUAACGCUCCGAAAGGUGUGCUAAUACCGCAUACGAACUGAGGUUGAAAGUGGGGGACCUUCGGGCCUCGCGCUAUUCGAUCGGCCUACGUCUGAUUAGCUAGUUGGUGGGGUAAAGGCCUACCAAGGCGACGAUCAGUAGCGGGUCUGAGAGGAUGAUCCGCCACACUGGGACUGAGACACGGCCCAGACUCCUACGGGAGGCAGCAGUGGGGAAUUUUGGACAAUGGGGGCAACCCUGAUCCAGCCAUGCCGCGUGUCUGAAGAAGGCCUUCGGGUUGUAAAGGACUUUUGUCCGGGAGGAAAUGCUGGUGGCUAAUAUCCACCGGAGCUGAGAGUACCUGAAGAAUAAGCACCGGCUAACUACGUGCCAGCAGCCGCGGUAAUACGUAAGGGUGCGAGCGUUAAUCGGAAUUACUGGGCGUAAAGCGUGCGCAGGCGGUCUGACUAGC
rnacentral:rRNA from 1 species